CAGCCUCCCGAAGUGCUGGAAUUACAGGUGUGAGCCACUGUGCCUGGCCUAUUUUGCAACAUUUUAAAAUAGUUCUUGCCAAAUUUGACCCUGACUGAGUUAUUGUAGAAUAGAAAGCCUUGUUUCAGACGUUUGGAAAGUCCCCAUACCAGUUUGAAAAUACAGAGGUGAUACUUGAGUGACUAGGGUUUUAUACUGGGAUCUCCAGCUGCUGACUUUAAGACUGGCACAGAGUUGGGGAGGGAUUGGGCCUAGGACAAACAGAAACUCCACAAGGCUUUUCUGCCAUUUUCAUUUUUAUUUCUCUUUAUCUCUCUGUUAAUAGUAUGGGGUGCUGAAUAUUAUAAUUUCAAAAUUCUUUAUUUGUUUUUAUAAUGCUGCCACUUUCUUAAUUAGGAAGUUUUAAGCAUUUUUAGACAUUUUUGACUUCAGUUAGAUUUGGUAAUGUCAUCUUUGUUGACUAAAGGUCUGUUUUAGGGAUUUAAGGAAUAUUAUACAUAUUCAUAAGAGAUGACUGAGUUAUUUCUAAGAACAUGCACAGUCUGCCCUUUGUUUCCUUCUCUUUUGACAUUACCCAAUAAUAAGUUUAAGAUUUUUUCCUUGGGAUUGUGAAGUAUAUUUUAUUAGUCUUUUGUCAAACUUCACUAUGUUUGAUCUAGCGGAAACCAGUUGCCAGCUUCCAAAUAUUCUCUCUUACUGUAGUCACACAUGCAGUGGGCCGGAUCCCCCGAUCACAAGUUGCAACUAAAAAUAUGAAAUGUAAUCCACGAGCAUUGUUCAUUAGAGACUCAGUGCCCAGAGUGUUUCCUCAUGGCUGUUUUUCUCUUGUUUUAGCUGCUUUUAACAGAAUAAGCGAAACUGGGUAAUUGAUAAGAAAUCAUACUUAGUUUUUACAGUUCUGGAGACUGUCCCAGGUCAAGGCUGGGAAUCUGGACUCAGUUGCUUUUGAGGAUGUGACUGUGAACUUUACCUGGGAAGAGUGGACUUUGCUGGGUCCUUGUCAGAAGAAUCUCUACAAAGAUGUGAUGCAGGAAACCAUCAGGAACCUGGACUGUAUAAGAAUGAAAUGGGAAGACCAGAUCAUUGAAGAUCAGUACAAAAGUCCCAGGAGAAAUGUAAUUUGCUGCCACAGGAGAAA